ACGCACGCUGGCGGCGUGCUUAACCCAUGCAAGUCGGACGGAAAGGCCCUGCUUUUGUGGGGUGCUCGAGUGGCGAACGGGUGAGUAACACGUGAGUAACCUGCCCUUGACUUUGGGAUAACGUCAGGAAACUGGGGCUAAUACUGGAUAGGAGCUCCUGCUGCAUGGUGGGGGUUGGAAAGUUUCGGCGGUUGGGGAUGGACUCGCGGCUUAUCAGCUUGUUGGUGGGGUAGUGGCUUACCAAGGCUUUGACGGGUAGCCGGCCUGAGAGGGUGACCGGCCACAUUGGGACUGAGAUACGGCCCAGACUCCUACGGGAGGCAGCAGUGGGGAAUAUUGCACAAUGGGCGGAAGCCUGAUGCAGCAACGCCGCGUGCGGGAUGACGGCCUUCGGGUUGUAAACCGCUUUCGCCUGUGACGAAGCGUGAGUGACGGUAAUGGGUAAAGAAGCACCGGCUAACUACGUG
rnacentral:rRNA from 1 species